rnacentral:rRNA from 1 species
CACGUAGGGUGCAAGCGUUGUCCGGAAUUAUUGGGCGUAAAGGGCUCGUAGGCGGUCCGUCACGUCGGGAGUGAAAACUCGGGGCUCAACCCCGAGCCUGCUUCCGAUACGGGCGGACUAGAGGUAGGUAGGGGGAUCUGGAAUUCCUGGUGUAGCGGUGGAAUGCGCAGAUAUCAGGAGGAACACCGGUGGCGAAGGCGGGAUCCUGGGCCAGUACUGACGCUGAGGAGCGAAAGCGUGGGGAGCAAACAGG